rnacentral:rRNA from 1 species
UGCCAGCCGCCGCGGUAAUACGGAGGGUGCGAGCGUUAAUCGGAAUUACUGGGCGUAAAGCGUGCGUAGGCGGUUUGAUAAGCCAGAUGUGAAAUCCCGGGGCUUAACCUCGGAACUGCAUUUGGAACUGUUUAACUAGAGUACUGUAGAGGGUGGUGGAAUUUCCAGUGUAGCGGUGAAAUGCGUAGAGAUUGGAAGGAACAUCAGUGGCGAAGGCGGCAACCUGGACAGAUAUUGACGCUGAAGUAUGAAAGCUAGGGGAGCAAACAGGAUUAGAUA